rnacentral:rRNA from 1 species
UACAGAGGUGGCAAGCGUUGUUCGGAAUUACUGGGCGUAAAGGGCGCGUAGGCGGCCCGUCAAGUCCCGUGUGAAAGCCCCCGGCUCAACCGGGGAACGGCGCGGGAAACUAGCAGGCUUGAGUUCGGGAGAGGGAAGCGGAAUUCUGGGUGUAGCGGUGAAAUGCGCAGAUAUCCGGAGGAACACCGGUGGCGAAGGCGGCUUCCUGGACCGACACUGACGCUGAGGCGCGAAAGCUAGGGGAGCAAACGGG